rnacentral:rRNA from 1 species
AACGAACGCUGGCGGCAGGCCUAAUACAUGCAAGUCGAGCGCUCUAGCAAUAGAGAGCGGCGCACGGGUGCGUAACGCGUGGGAAUGUACCUCUAGGUGCGGAACAACGUCGGGAAACUGACGCUAAUACCGCAUAAUAUCUCCGGAUCAAAAGAUUUAUCGCCUAGGGAUCAGCCCGCGUUGGAUUAGCUAGUUGGUGAGGUAAUGGCUCACCAAGGCGACGAUCCAUAGCUGGUCUGAGAGGAUGAUCAGCCACACUGGGACUGAGACACGGCCCAGACUCCUACGGGAGGCAGCAGUAAGGAAUAUUGCGCAAUGGAGGCAACUCUGACGCAGCCAUGCCGCGUGCAGGAAGAAGGCGCUACGCGUCGUAAACUGCUUUUACCAGGGAAGAAACCCCCAGACGUGUCUGGGUUGACGGUACCUGAGGAAUAAGCACCGGCUAACUUCGUGCCAGCAGCCGCGGU